CUCGCCUCUUGGGCUGAUUUUGUCGGUGGGAGCGCAGCAGCCUGUAGUAUUCGACAUUCUGUAGUAACUGCGUUCCCAGUGUGGUAUUGUCCAUGUUCAUCAGCAAAUCUGGAGCCAUCCACAAACAAUGUACAGUUUGGAUUGGGUAGGGCAGUGUCAUGCACGGUUGGUAGGUGGGUGGUCUCCAUCUUCAUUUGUUCAAAACAGUCAUGAGGGGCUUCUGGAUCUUGUC